GACGUAGGGUGCGAGCGUUGUCCGGAUUUAUUGGGCGUAAAGAGCUCGUAGGCGGCUCGUCGCGUCGACCGUGAAACCCCGCAGCUUAACUGCGGGCCUGCGGUUGAUACGGGCGGGCUAGAGUUCGGUAGGGGAGACUGGAAUUCCUGGUGUAGCGGCGAAAUGCGCAGAUAUCAGGAGGAACACCGGUGGCGAAGGCGGUUCUCUGGGCAUUACCUGACGCUGAGGAGCGAAAGUGUGGGGAGCGAACAGG
rnacentral:rRNA from 1 species